rnacentral:rRNA from 1 species
GACGGAGGGGGCUAGCGUUGUUCGGAAUUACUGGGCGUAAAGAGCGCGUAGGCGAUUUGGUAAGUUGGAAGUGAAAGCCCGGGGCUUAACCUCGGAAUUGCUUUCAAAACUGCCAAACUAGAGUGUAGUAGGGGAUGAUGGAAUUCCUAGUGUAGAGGUGAAAUUCUUAGAUAUUAGGAGGAACACCGGUGGCGAAGGCGGUCAUCUGGGCUACAACUGACGCUGAUGCGCGAAAGCGUGGGGAGCAAACAGG